rnacentral:tRNA from 1 species
GUAGAUAUAGUUUAGUUAUAAAACACUAGGUUGUGAUCCUAGAGAUAGGGGAUCAAGCCCCCUUAUCCACC